rnacentral:ncRNA from 12 species
GGGUGUCGUGCUCUUCCUUGCACGACAGGAUUCACGCGCAGGUCGGGCCGCCGCG